UUUGAUGAAGAAUCGCACAUACACAGUACACCUUAUGAAUAUUAAUUAAUAUCUGAUAUGAAAUAUUACAACAUUUUAAAAAGUAUAACUGGAUUUGCUGAUAUUUGAGAGUCAUGCACCAAAAUCUUUGGCACUCAGUAGAUGAAGUUAGCCUAUGAAGUAAGUUUCCAUCCAGGUUAGUUUCCACUGCACAUAUGUGCAUGCAGAGGGUGAGAAUCUCUCUCACACACACACACACACAAACACAUACACUGUGGGUGGGUGUGUGAUGGUGAGAUAUUUAUCUUUUUUUUGGUUUGGCAAGGUUUGAAACAGUUCAUUACAAUUAAUCUCAUCAUGAUUUCGUUAUUCAUAGUUUUUCUGAUUAUCCUGAAGUACCAAACUGCUGAAGGUUUGGAUAACCCUGCUUCUAUAGUAUUCAAGGACAUAGGACAAAAUGUGACCAUCCACAGCCGUGUCAAAGAAAUAACGAUGUAUCACACAUCCGUCAGCUGGUACCGUCUGAGACCGAGUGGAAAAAUGGAGCAAAUAACUAAUUUAUACGAAUACAAGUUAAAGGACGGUCGUUACAGGGGAGAGCUUCGCGCGAACUCUAAGGAUGCGCAUCUAACCGUCUCCAGUGCAACAAUCGGCGACUCCGGACGCAGCUUCGCCGCGGUGCUUUCUAAAAAAAACUUCAAACUGGGUUCCUCCACAGUUGUAGCCGUAAAAGAUCCCAAGAGCCUCCCUGUAAUGCGCGUCUUCCUCGGUUGCACAGGAACCAUUCUAUGUGAAUUGAAAGGCGGGGGUCCACACUGGAGUGAUCCUCAGUGGGAAACAGAUGAUGCCAAUGACGGGCUGACGUUGUCGGAGGCCAAAGCUAAAACUUUUGUAGAUGAGCACGGUGCAUUCAUACAGUCCUCCAUCCUCUCUUUGAAAGACAGGAUCUGUGGUUUGAACUGUGUCUGUAGGCACAGUACUGGAGUCAUUAUUCGAACCCGGGUCAUGCAAGAUAACGCUACUUCAGUGCAAGGAUCAGUGCCAGCUUCAGGCAAGGAUCAGUGCCAGCUGCUGCUGUACCUGUCUCCCCUGGCUGUGGUGCUGCUGCUGGUGACUGUGACAGCCAGUGGGCUGUGGGCCUGGAGACGGAGGAAGCAGAGCCCUAUAGCACAGGUCAGAUAUUCAAUACAACUGUCUCCUGAAAUAUAUCAAGUAUAAUGCUGGAGUGAAGAAUGUGCUUUCAG